GAGUUUGAUCAUGGCUCAGGAUGAACGCUAGCGGCAGGCUUAACACAUGCAAGUCGAGGGCAGCGAGAUCAGUGCUUGCACUGAUUGUCGGCGACCGGCGCACGGGUGCGUAACGCGUAUGCAACCUACCCAUUACAGGGGGAUAACACUGAGAAAUCGGUACUAAUACCCCAUAACAUCCAGGGAGGCAUCUUCUUGGGUUGAAAACUCCGGUGGUAAUGGAUGGGCAUGCGUUGUAUUAGUUAGUUGGUGGGGUAACGGCUCACCAAGACAACGAUACAUAGGGGGACUGAGAGGUUAACCCCCCACAUUGGUACUGAGACACGGACCAAACUCCUACGGGAGGCAGCAGUGAGGAAUAUUGGUCAAUGGACGCAAGUCUGAACCAGCCAUGCCGCGUGCAGGAAGACGGCUCUAUGAGUUGUAAACUGCUUUUGUACGAGGGUAAACGCAGAUACGUGUAUCUGUCUGAAAGUAUCGUACGAAUAAGGAUCGGCUAACUCCGUGCCAG
rnacentral:rRNA from 1 species